CUCCACUCUAGACUAGGGUUAAUAUAUUUAUGAUAAAAUGAGUUUCUAAAUAGUAAAAACUUUUGAUGUAAGCAAUAAAAUAAAAUAAAGUAAAAUUAAGUUUUGGUCAAUUUGCAUUAAAAAUCUACUGCUUGUGUUUUUACAAAAAUAGGUCUUUUUUAAAAAUUUUGUAGAUCAGAUCUGGAUAUUUAGUAUUGACCAAAAUACUCUUAUUUCUCUUUCUCUCUCAUUUGUUUUUCUCCUCUCUCUUUAUCUCUCUCUUCCUUGUCAUUCCUUCCUCUCUUUCUCCUCCUGCUUUCUUUCUUUCUUCUCCUUAACAUUCCUUCUUCUCUCUUCUCCUCCUCGGUAAUAUAUUGGACUUUACUAAAUU
rnacentral:lncRNA from 1 species